CUGGUUACAUGAUGAAUAAAAUCAAAUCACCAUCUUUCGGCUGAGCUCGUGAUGGAUUUGCUUUUUUCUGAUAAAGGUG
ensembl:snoRNA